rnacentral:rRNA from 1 species
AUUGAACGCUGGCGGCAGGCCUAACACAUGCAAGUCGAGCGAGCGGCGGACGGGUGAGGAAUGUCUGGGAAACUGCCUGAUGGAGGGGGAUAACUACUGGAAAAGGUAGCUAAUACCGCAUACCAUCAGAUGUGCCAAGAUGUGAUUAGCUAGUAGGUGGGGUAACGGCUCACCUAGGCGACGAUCCCUAGCUUGUCUGAGAGGAUGACCAGCCACACUGGAACUGAGACACGGUCCAGACUCCUACGGGAGGCAGCAGUGGGGAAUAUUGCACAAUGGGCGCAAGCCUGAUGCAGCCAUGCCGCGUGUAUGAAGAAGGCCUUCGGGUUGUAAAGUACUUUCAGCGGGGAGGCGUUACCCACAGAAGAAGCACCGGCUAACUCCGUGCCAGCAGCCGCGGUAAUAC